UGGGGAAUUUUGGACAAUGGGCGCAAGCCUGAUCCAGCUAUUCCGCGUGUGGGAUGAAGGCCCUCGGGUUGUAAACCACUUUUGUAGAGAACGAAAAGACACCUUUUAAUAAAGGGUGUUGCUGACGGUACUCUAAGAAUAAGCACCGGCUAACUACGUGCCAGCAGCCGCGGUAAUACGUAGGGUGCAAGCGUUAAUCGGAAUUACUGGGCGUAAAGGGUGCGCAGGCGGUUGAGUAAGACAGAUGUGAAAUCCCCGAGCUUAACUCGGGAAUGGCAUAUGUGACUGCUCGACUAGAGUGUG
rnacentral:rRNA from 1 species